GUAUUUUAAUUUUCCUCGGACAGAACAGCAUGUUACUUCAAUGGUAGUGCUAUAAUUAACUCAGAGGCAAACUUCCUUUGUUCCCUCUGUAGGUAAUACACAGGGAUAUGAGUCAGUAAUAACCAAUUAGCUUGUUUGUAGUGAAGUCUUCCUUUACUGCCCUCGAACAGCAGCAGCAACAAUAGAAGCAUCUUAACUCUUCUUUGGGCUGCAGUAUCUGUAAAACCUGAUGGUGUUCAGCUGGACUCACAAAUACUAGAUCUGGUUAAGAAUAAGAUUUGGGUUUUGAAGUGUUUGAGCAACUUUCUACUACCCAAGUCAUGACGCUCCCAUUUCGAAAGGACUUGGACAAGUACAAAGAUCUCGAUGAGGAUGAAAUUCUUGGCAAACUUUCGGAAGAAGAACUGAAACAACUGGAAACCGUUUUGGAUGAUCUUGACCCUGAGAACGCGCUUCUGCCUGCAGGCUUCCGACAGAAAGACCAGACUGCUAAAAAGGCUUCAGGUCCCUUCGACAGGGAGCGACUCCUUGCAUAUUUGGAGAAGCAGGCUCUUGAGCACAAAGACAGGGAAGACUAUGUGCCUUUUACAAGAGAAAAGAAAGGGAAAAUAUUUAUCCCGAAGCAAAAGCCUAUACAGUCUUACACAGAAGAAAAAUUCUCUCUUGAUCCAGAACUGGAGGAAGCCUUGACCAGUGCCACAGACACAGAAUUAGGUGACCUUGCAGCUAUACUGGGAAUGUCUAACUUGAUAACAAACAAUCAGUUCUGUGAUGUAGUAGGAAGCAGUAAUGGGAUUGACAAAGACAGCUUCUCAAAUAUAGUAAAAGGUGAAAAAAUGUUGCCUGUUUUCGAUGAACCGCCAAAUCCUACAAAUGUGGAGGAGACGCUGCAAAGGAUUAAAGACAAUGAUUCCCGUCUUGUUGAAGUCAAUCUAAAUAACAUUAAGAACAUACCAAUUCCAACGCUGAAAGAAUUUGCAAAAGCCUUAGAAACCAACACGCAUGUGAAGAAUUUUAGCCUUGCAGCCACCCGAAGCAAUGAUCCUGUUGCUGUUGCUCUUGCAGAUAUGCUGAGAGUAAACACAAAAUUAAAAAGUUUAAACAUAGAAUCAAACUUCAUCACUGGAGUUGGAAUUUUGGCACUGGUCGAUGCACUGAAAGACAAUGAAACAUUAACAGAGAUCAAAAUCGAUAACCAGAGGCAGCAGCUCGGCACACUUGCAGAAGUAGAAAUUGCGAAGAUGCUUGAAGAAAACACCAAAAUACUCAAAUUUGGAUACCAUUUCAUGCAACAGGGACCUCGAGCCAGGGCAGCUGCAGCUAUCACAAAAAAUAAUGAUUUGGUCUGGAGUAUGCGAACAAAAUCUUCUGCAAAUACCUUUUCAUCUCUCCAGCCCUGAAGCUACAGAGACGGGUUACUCUGAAUACCCAGUUGGGUACUGAGCACUGAAAGCUGAGGUGUUCAAAGUCUCUCAUUUCUGUCUUUUUCGCAAGAGAAGGGUUGAAGGCGACAAUUAGUAGAUCAUCUUCUUGUCAAAACUGUGUGGAGACUUCAAGGGCCAUCAAGGCACACUCGUCACCGUGAGCUUUGGCAAUCUUGGACUACAUUCACCUGGGUUAGAAGGGAAAAGACUGGAAACCCCAUUCCUUUUAAAGCAAAGUUGUAUUAAGAAUCUGCUGGUGUAUGCAUCACGUUUUUCAGAUUGAGACACAAUAACUGCAACAGUCUGUACUAUAGUUUUUGGUGGUUUUUUAAAGAAUUUUUUUGUAUUUCGAGACUUCGGCUGUGCUUUCUACUAAAAAUGUAAUUGUAAAUCAAUGGUAUAAUUGUCUGUAGUCAAAGAAUGGGACAUUCAAGAUCAUUGGGCAGAUGAUGACCCAACUGAAAUAUUCGUUAGAAAAUCUGAGGGCGUUUAUUUACGUGGAGGGGUAUGUAUAUUCUUGAAAACAAUGCGUUAGCGAUAAGGGAUUCUUCACACAGCAGUUGGACUCAUUCUGUAGAGCUGUUCAGCCUUGUUCAUAUGCACUGAAGAGAAAUCUUUCACAGCUAUCUUACUUGUAAUUCUACUUUCAAAUUUUUUUAUUAGUUCUUGAUACUGUGAUUAAGUUUAUAGACAUCCCUUUAAACCAAACAAAAAUAAAUUGGCUAAGGACUUCUCACAAGAGACUUAAGGGACUAGUAAAAAAGUGGAAGCCUUGCAAAAAAAAAGAAAAA